UGGGGAAUAUUGCACAAUGGGCGCAAGCCUGAUGCAGCCAUGCCGCGUGUGUGAAGAAGGCCUUCGGGUUGUAAAGCACUUUCAGCGGGGAGGAAGGCGUUAAGGUUAAUAACCUUGGCGAUUGACGUUACCGACAGAAGAAGCACCGGCUAACUCCGUGCCAGCAGCCGCGGUAAUACGGAGGGUGCAAGCGUUAAUCGGAAUUACUGGGCGUAAAGCGCACGCAGGCGGUUGAUUGAGUCAGAUGUGAAAUCCCCGGGCUUAACCCGGGACUUGCAUCUGAUACUGGUCAGCUAGAGUCUUGUAGAGGGGGGUAGAAUUCCAUGUGUAGCGGUGAAAUGCGUAGAGAUGUGGAGGAAUACCGGUGGCGAAGGCGGCCCCCUGGACAAAGACUGACGCUCAGGUGCGAAAGCGUGGGGAGCAAACAGG
rnacentral:rRNA from 1 species